GAUGAACGCUGGCGGCGUGCCUAAUACAUGCAAGUCGAGCGAACAGACGAGGAGCUUGCUCCUCUGACGUUAGCGGCGGACGGGUGAGUAACACGUGGAUAACCUACCUAUAAGACUGGGAUAACUUCGGGAAACCGGAGCUAAUACCGGAUAAUAUAUUGAACCGCAUGGUUCAAUAGUGAAAGACGGUUUUGCUGUCACUUAUAGAUGGAUCCGCGCCGCAUUAGCUAGUUGGUAAGGUAACGGCUUACCAAGGCAACGAUGCGUAGCCGACCUGAGAGGGUGAUCGGCCACACUGGAACUGGGACACGGUCCAGACUCCUACGGGAGGCAGCAGUAGGGAAUCUUCCGCAAUGGGCGGAAGCCUGACGGAGCAACGCCGCGUGAGUGAUGAAGGUCUUCGGAUCGUAAAACUCUGUUAUUAGGGAAGAACAAAUGUGUAAGUAACUAUGCACGUCUUGACGGUACCUAAUCAGAAAGCCACGGCUAACUACGUG
rnacentral:rRNA from 1 species